UACGUAGGGGGCAAGCGUUGUCCGGAAUUAUUGGGCGUAAAGGGCGCGUAGGCGGCCACGCACGUCCGUUGUGAAAUCGCCCGGCUCAACUGGGCGGGGUCGGCGGAUACGGCGUGGCUGGAGCAAGCUAGGGGGCAAUGGAAUUCCCGGUGUAGUGGUGGAAUGCGUAGAGAUCGGGAAGAACAUCGGUGGCGAAAGCGCUCUACUGGACCACAACUGACACUCAGGGACGAAAGCUAGGGGAGCGAAUGGG
rnacentral:rRNA from 1 species